UCCAAAUAAAAAAUAUAAACGUUUGUAUAUGAAAAAAAACACGAUCACCAAUGCAAUUAAAGCACAACGUGGUGGCUGCUGCUUUACUGCAUAGGCUAUCAAAUGUGAACUACUAGAGAAAAUUUCUGAGAAACCAGUAGGAAUUAAGAAACAUUGUUUGCAGGGUAAAUAGAGAAACUUCUUUAGUAGAAACAUUAAAAUUUCAUUAUAAUUGCAAUACAUUGUAAAUAUUAACUACUUUGAUUAUGAAUGUAGUACCUAUAUUGACUAAAGUUCUCGUAAACAAAAAACAGAGACCCACACUGGCAGUAUCAAUGCACAGGUAUUGUAGUGUAACCUAUAAACUGUGAUUACUCAAAAAGCAGUCAGAAUUUAGAAAAUCCGUGUACAAAGUAUUUCCCUAAUUUUAUUAUUUUAUUUACGAAAAAGCCGCCAUCUGAUAAUUUUACCAAAUUUUCGCUAAAUAUUUUAAUUCUGAUAAAUGUCACUAUUGUACCAACACCUUUAUUCAUUCCGCUGGACUGAUUAUUUUUUUAUAAAUUUUAACUAUUUAUUAAUUUUUCCUAAAUUGGUGGUUGAGUCGACCCAGGCGGGUUCAAACCUGGUUUACUAAGUAGGAAACCAGACAGGCUUUUCUCAGGGAUAACCACGUUACCCCUCCACACCCCAUCUCAUCUGUCUCAUUCCUCAGGCUGGCCGGUUUGACAGAUUGUUCCUCGGGCAGGGCAGCCGAUUCCAUCCAUGUGGACCCUGCCUCAGGCGGAAAACUACUUGUGGAUUCUCAUACCAUUCUGUAAAGACACUAUAAUAAACUCAACUAGGAAUCGCUUAAUAUGUUAGUGAAUUAUGUCUGUAUUGUAAAUAUGCUAGAGUAGUGGUUGAGACAGGAACAACAAAAAAAUUGUAAUAAUAUAAAGAAACUCUGCUAUUCUGCUAUGUGAGAGGUAACAGCAAGCAUGCAAUAACUUCUUUACAUUUUAGGUUUGAAUAAACAAAGUUCAACAAAAAAAUUACCUAAGAUGGGAUUUCUUUUCUCAUACCAGAAGUAAUAUGAAUACAAAAACAAGUGAAUGCUUACAUAGCCAUACAUUAUCAUUCUACAAAAUUGUGUUUAGUUUAGUCACAAAAUAAACAUCCUGUCUUCAGUUUACAAUUAAUGAAAAAUAACUUCUGUUUUAUUUAACUCAUUUAUUUUUUAACACCUUUUCAUUAUUUCUUGCCAACCCAUUAGUUGCUUAGCUUAACAUUAAAUUGCAAAAGGAUGCUGGAAAAUUUUAUUAAAAACACAAUUAUAUAAAGUAUGAAAAUUUAAUAUGUAACUAUGGAAAAGUAUAUUAAUUCCCAAAAUACAAAGUUGAAAAAAGAAUAUAAAAUGUGCAAGAUUGCGAGACUUGUAAAUGUUAACAAUGCCAUAAGAGUAAUUCCAAUACCAAAUCAACAGUUUCUGCAGCAAAAAUUCACUAUCCAAAAAUCUUAUUCGGUAAGGUGUUUCAUGAGACUGCUUUGCGCGCAGGAAACUGUGAAAGUCAUUUAAAUUAUGUGAGGGUUUUAAUUUUCCAUAAUUUUUAAAUUCUAUUUUAAAAUGUUUUUUACGGGAUAAUAAAAAAGAUCUGUCAUGCUGUUACAUCAUUUCUUUGUAGUUCAAGCAUUUUUCGAUUGUUGGCAGCCAUGCCCUAAAAAAAUUAAUAAAAUUUAUGUCCCUAUCUAACUUAACCACAACGGUUUGGUUAUAUAUAUUAGUUUACUAUGCAUGGCUAGAGCAAGUUACUAAGAAAUUAUGCAAGUUUUAAGUAUGCAGUACUAUGAAAAAUGAAAAGGGUACUUGUUCUUUUGGUUAUGACAGACUCUUAAAUUUUUCAGUGAUAUUCAUUGAAAAUCAACAAGCCUAAUGUGAAUAAGCAGAAAUGCUGAGUCAACUAAUCAGAAAAAUCUGCUUCCGCCAAUUUGUAUCGGCACAGAUCUGAUUAGCGCUUUUGACUCAUACUUGAAAGUUUGUUGAUUCAGUGCUCACCUUUUCUUGUAAUUAAAGAGGGACAAAGUAAAUCUUAAGCAGGAAUUAACAAUUUUAAACUAAUCAGUAUUUUAAAAUUUUAUUAAUGGGACUUGACAAGCUAGGUAAACAAAUUUCUUGCGUUACACUUUUUCUUUUGUUAAACUCUGUAACAUUUCUGCACAGUAUGUCAGUCAAUGCUAGAGUUAAGAGUGGUAAUGCCAGAUACCAAUUCCUUCACCACUUGAUCAGGUUUUUUAAAUUUCACUCUACAAAUGAAUAAAUUUGACAUCAGCAAUACAUAUAUACAAUUGAACUAUCUUUAUCGAUGGUGUUAAGUAGUUGGUAACAAAACAAUAAGGUGGAAAGUAGGUGCUAUUGUUGGUUUUAACUUCAGUUGGAAGCAAGCAUUCUAAUAGUUAAAUGAAAGAAAAAUUUGUUCUUAAAUUUUAGAAAGCAAACAUUAUUACUAUUAUAAGCAGGAAGUGCAUAAUUUGUGAUAUUUUAGUGAAAAUAGUUUUCCUGUUUCAAAUUCAGCUAAAACAAUUAUAAUUUUCCUCAUUGUGUAUGUAUAUAUAGUAAUUGUUUUAAACUUAAUGUAAUUUGGUUGUAUUUUAUGUACUAAAAGAAUUUUUUUUUGUUUUGUGUUGAAGGAUAUUCUUGCCUGUGUAUGCAACAGUUGAUAAAUGUUAUGUAAAGCAACUUAUGAUUAUCUUACUCAUUGCACUUCUCAGCCUAUGUAGCCAAGAGUUUUUAUUAUCAUCCUUCUAUAUACUUAAUAAUACAAUACAAAUAUUAUGUAUUAGAGUGGUAUUUAUUCAUGAAAAUCAAUUUAUUACAUCAUUGUAUUUUUUUCAAAAAAUAUGUACAUGACUAUUUCAAGUUAAGACUAAUCCCCUCGUAUCGCAUCAGCGACAUUUGACAGUCCCUGCAUCAAAAUUAUUGCUGCAGAUUCCACUAAUUUUGCGAGGGCAAUGUUACUAUCAGCAAUUUUAUGUUACGCAGGUCGCAAUGCUGUUCAGCUCCUGCACUUUCUCUGCUUCUGUGUUGAUCAGUAAUGCAGUUGCGUGCCUUCUCUUUAACUUUGGUGAAUUGCCUCCUGAAAAAUAAAUGAGAACUUUCUACAUACUAUGCUUUUAAAAGUACAAUUCAUUCCACAAAGUCAUUUGUGCCAGAAAAGAGAAAUGUGUGAAACAAAGAGGAUGAGAGAAAAGACAGUAAAAGAUUUGAAAUAUCACUCCCAAUAUCUUUGUAACAUUCUUAUUAUUCACAAUUAACUUAUGAACAUUUUAACCUACACAAUAACUUUUGUCAAAAUUUCAUUUGGUUAGCUAACCUGAUGCUCAGGAACACUACGUUUUAACAUGUUAAAAAUUAAACUGUAACAACAGCAGAGUAUCCUGUGUCAGCAAGUGGGGACCAAUCAAAAAUUUAACUUUCCAUGAUGAGGGCCUGGAAUUUUUCGCGAUUGCAAAUUUUGCUAAUUUCGCAUGAAAACGCGAAAAGUACAUUCGCGAAAACCACAACAUUUCUAUAUUACACUGCGAAUAUAUCCCCGAAAAGUACCAUUAUUUGCAGAUCACUAAUACUCGCGCAAGGUUAAAGUAACCUUUAACCCAAGUCUUGUAUUUUUACAUAAGCCAUGUUCGUGUAUGGUUUUGAUGCUCAAAAUUGAUCUCGGGCAUAGUUCGCACUAAGUUUCUUCUCAUUUGUGCGCCAGGGUUUGUUCAAGUGGCAACCCCGUGUUCCUCCACUCCAUUAUGCCAAUACCGUAUUUAUUGAAUGCAAGCAAACUAACUUUCGCAUUCUAUGAAAAAUAAAAAUAAUAUGAUGCCGAAUUCUAAACUACUGUGCACACUUGGCCGGAUAUGAGAACGUGUUUAUUGUACUUUGCGAAAAGUGUAUAAAAUGUUACAUCAAAGCAAAAGAGUAACCUAAUAUCUUGUAUUUAUCCAAGUUGCGUCAUAUACGGUAAAAUGUAAAAAAAAAAAAACCUGGUUUGUCCAAAUUAGCCAACAUAGCUUCUACUAACUUCUCCUGUAAGCAAAUGCUUCCUUAACGAAGAUCAUACAUUUCCCAGACUGUGAGAAGUUUUGUUUUGUGUAAAGCUAAACACAUAUGUUAGCGGCUAACGAAUUUAUCUAACCGUAGUUGUUUAUUUUGUGUAACUUCGUAAAUAGCAUAAGAAUAAGCAAAUAAUGAUUUUGCAGGUACGAAAUUAGUCUGCGCAGCGAGACUGGGAGUGUGCGGGCAUGCGUGACUAUCAUGCAGCCAGCAUCUGUUGUUGACGUCACGAGCCAGGACAGCGUUCCCAACGUAGUGGCAUACCACUGCUGAUAUUUAUUCACGCGCCAAGUUUAGUUGAUUGUUUUCGUAACAGCCUGUAUGUAGUAUGUUGCAACAUAUUUCUGUCUUGAGUUUGAAAAUGCUGAAUAAUACUUUGAGUGCUCGAGACAGAGCAUAUCAGUAUCAGAAACAUGGGUUUUAUUGUACUGACAAUAGCACAGUGAUGUGCAAAUUUUGCAACUGUAAAGUUUCAUGGGAAAGAAAAGAUUCCAUUGACAAACACCUAAAGUCGGCUAAGCAUGUGGCAUUGGCAGCCGAAAAAAAAGAAAAUUUAAGUUGCAAACAUCUAUAGCAACGUGUUUAAAUAGUGUAUAAAUUAGGGAAAAAACUGUGGAGCAUUUGGGUAAAAGUUUGACAAACAUUUGUGAAAGCCAACAUUCCACUAGAGAAACUGGAAAAUGAACAUAUGAAGAAGUUCAUGAACGAAUUCAUAGAAGGUAGGUAGUUAUUUCUUCUUUUACUACUUAUUUAAAUUGUGAUAAAAUAAAUUAUCCCGGUGUAUGUAUCCACAUUAUUUCAUAAAAGUAUAUAUUUAAAAGUUGGCCAUAACAUGCAACCCUUUAAUUUCUUACAGGAGCAGGUGAUAUUCCAUGCACAAAAGUGUUGCGUGAGAAAUACCUUCCGGCAAUUAGAACUGAGAGGGAGGAAAACAUGAAAGCCAAACUUUUCGGGAAGCAAGUUGCUGUGCUGUGUGACGAGACUACCGACAAACGAGAUACAGGGAGUGAGAAAAAAAACAACUUAUUUUUUCAAUACCAUGAUGGUGUUAAUGGUAUUCAAAUUGAGUAUUUUGGGGAGCCAUUUUCAGUUGAAAAGAGGGCAACCUUGCAGUGUUCACAAGGUCCCAAAUACUACAGUGCGAAGACUACUUCUGAUCAACUACCUGAUCACCCACACGGAACCAAAAAGAAGUUCUGGAUACAGAACACCAGAAAACUCGAUUGUCCAGCAAUGAUGCAUGUGAAAUGCAUAAGAGUGUACCCUGAAUUUGCUGCACCCAACACGGAGCGGAAGAAACGUGCUGUAAGUUAAAUACCUGAUACAUCUUUGCUUAGUAUAUAACCCACAGGCUAACAUCUAUUUUAAAUUACUGAGAUGUUAAAAUAAGAUUUUCAUGUAUACAAAUAACAUUAUCAAAAUUAUAUGAAGCCAAUGAUAUAAUUACAGCUUUUUUUAAGGUAAGCUACAUAUGUGAACUUCAUGGUUCCUACCUACAAAUAAUAUCACAUUUCUUAGUUAAAUUUUGUGUCAUAAUUACUAUAUUAUGGAACAGAAAAUGUAUUCAGAAUGAUAACAUCAAUCAAAGUUAAACACUGGUUUCUUUGAAAAAUGGUAUUGAAAUUACUGGUAAUUUUACUCUUAACAGUACACAUUUACAUGAUAAUUGUCGACACUAAGCUGUCUACUGUGUGUCAUUUAAUUUGGGAAAGAGAAUUAUUCAUUAAAAUAAAUGGAAAAAAUUACAGGUCUAAUAUGAACUGUAAAAUUCCAACACUUUAAUAAUUUCUUGUUUCAUGAGGUAGAUCAUUGUAUGCUAAAGGGAAUUUUUUAUUAUCUAUGUCUUACCUGGAUUCCAAACCUAGAACUUACAGUGCUGACUGAAAUAUUACUUGGAUGUACGCUUGUUCACCUAUUAAAUCCAGAUGCAUUAUUAAAAAUUGGUAUGCACUUUUGUACAUCUGUAUUGAAACGUAAGAGAUUUUUGAUGGUUAGCAAGUUGUGUAUAUACUGUAUACACAGUUGUAAAUAUGUAUUCACUUUGUCUAUGAAGUUAGUGUACAGUAUAUUUCAGCAGCAGAAUUCACCAAAUCUAUUAUUUACACCAACUACAUAUGUGCAAUGAAUGAUUUCUGUUUUCUUUCCUUCCAGCUUUCGUUUAUCACAUUGUAUGUAAACUAAUGUAUUGACAUUGAUUUCAGAUGCUGAAGAAACUGAAAGCAUUAAUGAAAAAUAAAACAGCUUUGAUAAGCUACCUUCGUUAUUAUAUAAAGUAAGUAGCCCUGAGAACCAUAACCACUCAACGAUUUGCACUCAACUCUCCCAGGAGAUACAUGGGGACCUGGUAACAGAAAUUAAGAGAUUAGUAAACGAAGGAAUUACAGCCAUUAGGGAUGUAAAGGCUAACAUAUAUUUUAAACUUGUUGCAAACAGAGUUCCCCUGUAGACCCAGUUUUGUAAAAGAAUCUGAAUUGUUUAUGAAGUAACAAUUUGUAUCAGUUCCACUAUAUUUCUAUGUGUAAAGUGCACUCUAUAUUAAAACAUACUGUACUGUACUGCAUAAGGAAAUUCAUUUAAUAAAUUACCUACUGAUCAAUACAGUAAACAUAAAGUUUAGUGGCUAAUUUUUUUUUACCAUACUUUGAUCCAUUUCCCACAGCUCUUUUAUAUACAUCCUGAUAGACAAUAGUAAUGGAAUAAUAGUGAUAUAUAUUAAUAAAUAAAAGGAAAUAAACUGCUUGACUGGCAACCUUUGUCUAAACCUCUUUAGAAGAAGUUAUAAGAAGUUAUCUCAAUAUUUGCCAGCUGAUUUCCCCUUCGAAUGUAAACUAGGUAAAUAGCAAAUCUGUUUGGAAUAUGACUCUCAUUAAUGAAAUUCAAGAUCUGCAUUAAUGCUAAGAGAAAUCUAUUCACUGUCCCCUUUUCUUCAUCCACUUUACAGCAUGUCACCAUAAACAAAUCUGUAACUAAAGUGUACCUAUUUUACAAGUUUCUUUCACUGAGAGCAUCAGAGAGUUAAUUGUGACAUUUUUGCUGGUGAAUAAUGACAUUGUUAAACCACACAUUAAAAUAUUUUGAUAAACAUUUUUAUUCAAAUAGGCAUCUUAAAAUUUUAUUAUAAAUACAAUGUUAUUAAAUAAGACACUGCACUAGUAAUAAAUCCUUGCUAAUUUACACAUGGUAUCCACUGCAGUUGAUGGAAAGCUAGUGUUCAUUUCUCCAUAUGCCUGCAACAAACAAAACUUAAUUACAAUAUAUUGUAAUUGUUUAAUGUGGAAUUAGAGAGAUAAGGUGAUUGACAACUUUAUAAAAUAAAUAUGGAAAUUUUUACAAAACACUACCUAAGUAUAAGGGUGUUCAUAAUUUUUCCUUUCACAUACAUGAUGAUUUCUGUGAAAUAUUUAUUGAAAAUUAAUUUACAAUACUAAAUAUGUAUUAAGCAUGCAAACAAUUUUAUUUAUUAUUUAUUUAUUAUUUAUUUAUUAAAAUUUGUGACAUGCACACCAACAGCCGAAGCUUUAGAGGUGUGCACAGAACAAGUAAUACAAACACGACACAUACAAGCGAAUAAAUACAACAUAAACAGGAUAAUAAAAGACGACACAUACAAGCGAAUAAAUACAACCUACACAGGAAAAUAAAGGACGACACAAUAACAAACAAAACAAAACAAAACAGCAACUGAGAUAAUUUUAACUAAUUGAUCUAAAAUUGGAAGAAUAAACAGGAUUAUAAAAUUACUCAGAAUAUUAGGGUAAUCAUAAAAAUUAAAAUUUGAAGUUUUUAAUAAAAUUUUCAUAUUUAUUGAAAUUUGAGAUAAGUCUGUAAAUUAAAUCAUUAUUAUUGUGUAAGGAACAUAAUAGGGAUCGAAGGCGGCUUUUGAACUGCGGGACUCGAAUACCAGAGUUAUCAAGUAAGUAUAAGCAAUUAAUUUUUGAACUAUAGCACUUAAACACAAACAGGGCAUCCAGAUGGAUGCGACGAUUUGAAAGAGAUUCUAAUUUGGGUAAUUGAUGGUGUCUAGAACUAAUUAUUUUGAAAAAUUUAUUUUGUAUGGAUUCAAUUUUGUCACUGUCGGUGGUGUUAAUACUGUUCCAGAUAACUGAGCAAUAUUCGAGUUUACUUCUAACUAAGGACAAAUAAAGAGUAAGAAUGGAUUCAAUAUUAGAUGCAUAGUAAGUUAUAUAAUUUAUUAAAUAUAAGGUUCUACGGGAAAAGGAUACUAAAGAAUUAACAUGUUGAUGAAAGAAUAGUUUGGAAUCAAGAAUAACACCAAGAUCUUUUAUACUAAGAGAUUUGGAAAUUUUUGAGUUGUCAAGAAAAUAAUCAUAUUUAACUGGAUGAAUUUUCCUUGUGAAAGAAAUAAUUUUUGUUUUAUCUUUGUUAAGUGAAACUAAAUUCAUUUUGCACCAAUUAUCGAUUUCAGUAAUAUCAGAUUGAAGAAGCAGACAGUCAUUUAAGGAGGAAAUUUCUCUGGAUAUUUUAAGAUCAUCAGCAAACAGAAAACCAGUAGUAUGAUGAAGAACUUUAAAAAUAUCAUUGAUAUAAAUAUUGAAUAAUAAGGGAGAUAAAGUACCCCCUUGAGGCACACCAGAAGUAGCAUGAUAUAAAGUAGAAGUUUUUUUAUUAAGUGAAACAAAGAAACAUCUAUCUUUAAGGUAACUAGUAAACCAGGUUAUAUAAUUAUUACAGAGACCGAAGUUAGAAAGUUUAGCUAGUAAAAUG